rnacentral:piRNA from 1 species
UACAGAGCCUACCCUCAAACCACACCCAGU